rnacentral:rRNA from 1 species
GUAGGGGGCGAGCGUUGUCCGGAUUUAUUGGGCGUAAAGAGCUCGUAGGCGGUUUGGCAAGUCGGCUGUGAAAACUCCGGGCUCAACUCGGAGACGCCAGUCGAUACUGCCAUGACUCGAGUCCGGUAGGGGAGUGCGGAAUUCCUGGUGUAGCGGUGAAAUGCGCAGAUAUCAGGAGGAACACCGGUGGCGAAGGCGGCACUCUGGGCCGGUACUGACGCUGAGGAGCGAAAGCGUGCGGAGCGAACAGGAUUAGAUACCCUGGUAGUCCAUGCCGUAAACGAUGAAUGCUAGGUGUUGGAGGGUUUCCGCCCUUCAGUGCCGCAGCUAACGCAUUAAGCAUUCCGCCUGGGGAGUACGACCGCAAGGUUG